rnacentral:rRNA from 1 species
AAAGAUUCUUCGGAUGAUUUCCUAUUUGACUGAGUGGCGGACGGGUGAGUAACGCGUGGGUAACCUGCCUUGUACAGGGGGAUAACAGUUGGAAACGGCUGCUAAUACCGCAUAAGCGCACGGCAUCGCAUGAUACGGUGUGAAAAACUCCGGUGGUAUGGGAUGGAUCCGCGUCUGAUUAGCCAGUUGGCGGGGUAGAGGCCCACCAAAGCGACGAUCCAUAGCCGACCUGAGAGGGUGACCGGCCACAUUGGGACUGAGACACGGCCCAAACUCC